rnacentral:rRNA from 1 species
GACGAACGCUGGCGGCGUGCCUAAUACAUGCAAGUAGGACGCAGUUGCGAACGGGUGAGUAACGCGUAGGUAACUACCUAUUAGAGGGGGAUAACUAUUGGAAACGAUAGCUAAUACCGCAUACUAGUAGAUGCACCUGCGUUGUAUUAGCGGGUAGGUAGGGUAAUGGCCUACCUAGGCAACGACACAUAGCCGACCUGGGAGGUGGAGCGGCCACACUGGGACUGAGACACGGCACAGACUCCUACGGGAGGCAGCAGUAGGGAAUCUUCAGCAAUGGGGGGAACCCUGACCAAGCAACGCCGCGGGAGUGAAGAAGGUUUUCGGAUCGUAAAGCUCUGUUGUUAAGGAAGCGGUACUUAACCAGAAAGGGACGGCUAACUACGUGCCAGCAGCCGCGGUAAUUC